CUUGCCCUUAAGACCGGGAUAACCAUUGGAAACGAUGGAUAAUACCAGAUAGGAUGUUUUAACACAUGUUUUAACAUUUAAAGAUGCUCCAAAGGCAUCACUUAAGGAGAGGCCUAUAUCGCAUUAGCUAGUUGGUGAGGUAACGGCUCACCAAGGCGACGAUGCGUAACUGUGCUGAGAGGCAAAACAGUCACAUUGGAACUUAGACACGGUCCAAACUCCUACGGGAGGCAGCAGUAGGGAAUUUUCGGCAAUGGGGGAAACCCUGACCGAGCAAUGCCGCGUGAAUGAAGAAGAUCUUCGGAUUGUAAAAUUCUGUUAUUGGGGAAGAACUAUGUAGAUAGGAAAUGAUCUACAUUUGACGGUACCUGAUGAGUAAGCCCCGGCUAACUAUGUGCCAGCAGCCGCGGUAAUACAUAGGGGGCAAGCGUUAUCCGGAAUUAUUGGGCGUAAAGCGUGCGUAGGUGGUUUAUUAAGUCUGUUGUAAAAGCCCACAGCUUAACUGUGGUAGGUCAUCGGAAACUGGUAGACUAGAGUACGGUAGAGGUAAGUGGAAUUCCAAGUGGAGCGGUGGAAUGCGUAGAGAUUUGGAGGAACACCAGUGGCGAAGGCGGCUUACUGGGCCGGAACUGACACUGAGGCACGAAAGCGUGGGGAGCAAACAGGAUUAGAUACCCUGGUAGUCCACGCCGUAAACGUUGAGCACUA
rnacentral:rRNA from 1 species